rnacentral:lncRNA from 1 species
AUGGAGCAGCUCUUUUUUCUUCUCAUUCACGUAUUUGCUUCUUCAUACUUAAUCUCAGCAGGAAAUGACACGAGCAUACAAACUACGUUACCUCCAAACACAAAUGCUACUUCUCCAUGUUCUGCUGAUUCAAGAACAGAAGUCCAAACUGAAAAAACAACAAAUUCUACUUUUUCAUCUCAAUAUGAGAAUAACAUGACCAGCCACACAUCAAAAACUGUGAGCACAACCACAGCUCCUGUAUCUUCUAGCCACACAGGACAGUCCAGCAUUACCAGCUCCAUGUUAACAACACCAAAAUCCUACACUGACACAACUCUAAAUUACACCUCAUCCACAGCGUCCAAAAUAACAGGCAGUACUGAUGGAUCUGGCCUCUCUUCGCAUAAAACAUCAGUGGGUGUUUCUGUACUUGCAAACACUUCAACAACAGCUAAUUCAAACAUCAGCAUGUCAGAGGGGACGCCAACACCUUCACAGGCACCAGACAGCAGCCUCACUUCGCUCGCCUUUGGUGUGAUGAGUCUUAUACUCAUUUUAAUUGUUGUCAUGGUGGUCUUGGUGACUGCUAUCAACCUCAGGGGACGGUGUAGAGACAUCAAACAACACAAGAGUGGGUUUCUCUCUAAUUCUGUCAGUUUCAAGAUUACUGCAAUAUAGUAAUUAAUGUUUUUUUUUUAUAAUAAUAAAGGUAUUAAAAGCUGUGAUUCUGUGGUGUCUGACAGGUGAGGAUUUGACUGUGCAUGUGUGGUUAUCAUCAUUGUCUGUUUUACAUAUAAAAUAAAUAAUAUAAUAUAAU